rnacentral:lncRNA from 1 species
UCAUUUCAAAUUCCAAUUCACUUUUCACUUUUCAUAUUUUUCACUUUUGUCCUUUCAACCACACAACCCCUUAGGCUUUCACCAGUCUCUCUUCAGUCUCUCUUCAUUUUUCUCUCUUCCCUUCUCCUCUAAACAGUAUAAGCCCAUAGACCUCAUCAAAACAAGAAUGGUUCCAAACAAUCUUUGAGAGAUAAGGGCAACAAAGAGAAUGAUGAAACUCAUGUACUUUUUUCCCACAUGGAUCUCUUCCAAAAUGUUAUAUUGAACUCGGGUACCUUUAUCUAUUUCUUGUUUUUUAGUUCAAUCUUUACUAACAAGGUAAUAUUUUUUUGGUCAUUUCUAUUAAGGGGUCUAGAUUGCUCCCCGUUGGAACAUGUGAUUAAGACUGCUCACGGCUAGAGCCCCCUCUUAUUACUUGACUCUUCCAUCUUUUUUUGCUUUUCAUUUUUACAUUUUACUAUUUUCAACCUAAAUCUCAUUCCUUUUGCUUGUUAUAUUUAAUUUCGUUUGUUGCAUGUUUAGAUCUACAACAAAAGAGUCAUGAGUUAUUCCAUUUUUAAUUUGUUUUAUUAUAUGGGUAAUUUGUUUGUAAAGAUGUGUAACAUGCCUUUAUUUUCUUUCAUUUCAUGUCUCUGUCUACUAUUUAGUUGUUGCUUAAAUAUUAUUUUACAAUUUUGAUUCAUUUACUAUGUGUACUACUCUAUAUAUUGAUAUAUUUGAAAGUUGUUUUGUGUUAUAUAAACAUAAUUUAUAAAAGAGCUUAUAAACUAAAAUAAACAAAAAUAUUCCCAAUUAAACAUAUUAUAUCACCAGUAAAUUUAUUGUCAUUAUUCUAUACUGAAAAUUGUUAUUAUAAUAACAAAAAUAACACUUUCACAUAAGAGUAGGAAAAAAUCUAGAAGAUCUAAUUGGUUGCAUUGAUCUCAAGUUAAUGAAAUUUACUGGUGCAUGAUGAAGUUUAUCUUUUUGAAUAACAAAUGUGUUCAGUUUAGAUUUCAAUUAUUAAAUAAAGUUAAGUAGAAUAUUUGAUCAAAAGCUCUAUGUUGUUUAUCAUAUUUGUCUUAUUUUUCUAGUUGAUUUUUGAGUCCUCCAAAUUAGGUACAUUAGUGAAUGAGUUUUGAGGGAAAAAAUUCAUGACAUGAAACCAAAUGGUGGGGUUUACUUUUUCCUAUUCAUAAGUCUACCCUAUAAUAUUUAUUUUGUUUAAAAAUUAUAAAACAAAAUUAUGAAAUGACAAAACUAGACACUCCAACUACUUGAUAUUUGUUGCUUAUGGGACACUUAAGUCCUUUGGGAAGAGGACACCAAAUUGCAUUUUUCUCUCUACAUAUCACACACCCUCUCUGCAAUUUUCUCUUCUCUCACACGUUACACUCUCUCACACAUCCCUUUUGAUAAAAAUCAACCACACUGUCCACCUAUGUGGAAGAGAUGAUGGGAUUAAUGUUAACUUAUGCACAAAAUCAUUUGGUUGAGAUUGUACGAAUAUGAUACUAAUUCUGUUCAGUGGCCAAAAGGCAAAUACAUAUGUGUUGUGCGCUUCGGCAAAAGGCAAACAUGUAUAUUUUUUAUUAUUACUUCAAAUCAAAAUUGUGACUUUUUAAAGUUGUAAAAUAGGUUUGUUAUUAUUAUUUUGAAAAUAAAAGUUGUAGUGUUAGACAUAGGUGUAUAACUAUGCAAUAGAAGUAUAUGUAUAUUACCUAAGGCACAUGUGGCUAGGGAAGAUAAGAAGGUUUUUCACUUGCUCCAAAUUUGACAGUUUCAUUAUUAACUAUUAAAAAUGCUAUGUCUAACUCUAUGCGAGAAGGAAAACUGAACUGAGAUAGAAAAACAAAGUCAUAGCUUUAAAGUAAUUUUUUUGUCAAGAUAAAAAGUUGAAAAUAUUCAGCAACUUACACUUUCUCUUAGCGCUAUUUGCUAACAAAACAAUUUAGUAUAUACAUAUAAGUAAAUAGCAAAUAGUAAUUACUUACAUCUUUUUGCAUACUUCAAAACAUGACUUCAACCAUUUUAUGAGCGCUUUCAACUACUAUAAAUUGUUGAUAUUUAGUAUAUAUAGUAGUUUUAUUAUAGGCAUCAAAUUCUUGAAGUUAUGAUGAGGUUUUUGGCCAUAAAAAGAAAACAAUUGAUUGGAUGAUCACCACAAUCAUAGUAAAAGGUUAAAUUAUUUGUGCAAAUUGUGGACAAGUUUAGUUACUUAGGAACACAAAAAAUAACUUCAUAUGCACUAACUUUACUAAAACACUAGCUAGCCUUUUCUGUACAACUACUACAUGCAAAGCAAGCUUUAAUUUAUUAUUUGAUUUUGUCAUCAUUUGCUCACUAAACCUUCUUUCUAGCAUGUUAUCCUCUUUCAACAUUGAUUUCUUACAAUUUUCUCAUCGAAGUGAUGGAGAAAAACAAUAAGUGAUGAGAAGGAAAUAAAAAUUGCGAAAGAACUUUAUUGUCAUUUGCUAUAUUUUAGUUAAACUUAUAUUGUUAGAUUUUUUAGUUUGUACUUCUAUAUAUUUUUUAGUUUGUACUUCUAUGUAAACAAUAAUAACAAUAGGAAAGAUCAAUAUAAAAGGCAUAAUAACAAUAAUAACUUCAUAUUAAUAUUAAACAUGCACAUUUAUGAUUGUAUGAAUUCGGAAUAUUAAAAACAACAAAAAUAGUAUAAAACAUAAAGAGCAUCAAUCUAAAAUAAAACACAAUGAUUUUAGAAUUAUACUAAUAUUGCACAUGUAAACACUCAUAUAUUUAAACAUAAUUAGUAUGAAUCUAAAACAGUGUUGCCUAAUUGCGGCCAUGGUGGCGCCAUGGCGGAUGGCGGUGGCAUUUUUUGGGCUACCGCCAUUAGCCAUUUGGAAAUUCCCGCCAUAUGGCUGUGUCCGCCUUUUGUAAAAAAAAUACUGUCAUGGCGGUGUGGCGGUGGCGGAAAUUUUCGUUUCUCGACAGUUUUUUUUAAAAAAUUGGGUUCGGAUAUGUUUUUUUGGGCUCAUUCCAUGUUUUAAAAAUUAAAACUCUUGGUCUUUCUAUUUUUGGAUCUUCUAUCUAUUGUCUCCCUCUCUCAAAACUUCCUCCUCUGCCUCCACUGUUCCACCGCCGCCGCCACUCUACCUUUAUUAACUCAUUUGCAUUGCUUUUCUUUUUCCUUAUUUUUAUUUAUCUUUUUUUCUAGUUUUCUCAUCUCUACAUCUAUUUUUUAAUUUUGUUUUCUUUUAUCUUUAUAAUAAUUUUUUUUUCAGAUUACUUUUUUUGUCCAUAUUAGUUUUUAUUUCCACUUUUUUUUGUGCAGAUUUUUUUUUUUAAUUUUGCUUUAUCAUAUAUUCAUAUUGCAUGGGGAGGAGGAGGAUAUUUAGAAAAUUAAAUCUUUUGCAUUUUAUAUUUGGGUUUUCCUUUGUUUUUAAUUGUGAAUGUUGACAAGACUUAUUAGUAUUGUUUAUAUUACUUAUUAGUCAUUUUUAUGAGACAUUAAUAUUUAAUGGUUUUUAUUAAACUUUAUGUUAUUGUUUGAUUUUUGUGUUAUUGUAUUUAUUAUUUUAUUUUUCCUAUUAUGUUAUAUUUUUUAUUUAUUUUUUUCAACCGCCAUGAUGACGUCCGCCAUUUGCCCGCAACGCCUUCAUGGCUGAAUUUUGGCAGCCGCCAUCUGCCAUGGGCAACACUGAUCUAAAAUAAAACAUAAUAAUUCGAAAGAUAUUCUAAAAAAAACCUUAUAAAUUUAUAUGAUAUUUAUAAACCUAAUCCAAAAAGAAUACGAUGCAUAAAAAAGUCUCUAUAUCUAUAUUUACUUUGUAGGCUUUUUUACUCAAACAAUUGUCUACAUGUAUAGUUUUUUUACAUAUUUUUCUUAACCAAUCUUUUUUUCAACAUGUAAAUCUCACACUCUUCGGUUUCAAAAGGUAGAAUGUAUUCCACCCUAUGCUUUUUCUAACUGGUAAAUCUCACCCUCCUCUUGUAGGUCAACACUCCUAUUGAAGAAUGCUACUAUUGAAACAUCCUGAAAUCUUAUAAAAAAUUACACUUUUGUUGAUAUUUUUCCAUUCAAUUUUUGAACGGCUAUGAUUGAUUACUUAUAUUUCA